AAUAGUAAUAUAGUAUCCAUUACAACAGUCCCAAUUAUUGGGAUUUAGAUUAACUGCUGUAAUAUAUUGCCGCAGUAACACACAGUUCAGAAAAUCUUGACCAUUGAAUCCAUCCAACUUACUAGAUUGCAUGUCCUAUAUUUUAUAGUUUUUAAUUCCCAAGCGACAGUGCUCCAAACCAAGAUCAAUGAUAUAUAUAUAUAUAUAUAUAUAGGCGAAUGCUAUCAUGCACUAGCCACUUAAGUCUUUCACCGUGAAAGACUUAAUUUUAUCCUUAGAUUAAAUUGUUCCUUACAAUAUUAUAAUGGUCAUUGCAACACAUGAUCUCUUUCUCACUCACUCACUCAAUUCUUCCCGUCACUUCUAAAUUCUUCCCGUCACCGCUGUGCCACCCAAAACAGUUCACUGCGGUCGUGAGAGUAUCAGCGCCGUCAUGCAAAUACCAACCAUCACCAACACUAGACCACAGUCGAACUCCAACGACAAUGGUGGUGGUUCAACAAUCUGUUUAAUGUAAGAGAUAAAGCUUGAUGAGGAGAGAAAAUUGGUAGUGGUGAGUGGUGACUCAUCAAUUGGUGAUCAAACGGUGGUGGAGAGUGGUCGGGAAAUGUGAGGUGUGGUGACACGUGGGUCUGUGUUGUGAACAAGAAGCCGAGAAAUGUGUGUGUGUUCACAAGUCAUACCGUAAGAUCACGUGGUACUACUCAAUCCAAUGAUAAUAAAUGGUUAUGCACCAUACAAGACUUGUAAGACUUGUGCAUAAUAGCCAAAGCCAUAUAUAUAAAGCAAGAUGAAUGAUGCUUCAACACAAAACAAAACAAUGGAGAUUAAGCUCGAGAAAUUAAACACAAUACUCAUAAAACCCUCAAAACCUACACCAUCACAUCUU
rnacentral:lncRNA from 1 species